GGUGCGGUUUCCUGUAAGUCGGCCCGUGUGGCUGAGGGUCACUCCGCGCGGGCACUGCAGCUUUUGUCAGCAUCUGGACACCUGCCU
rfam:Loxodonta africana cont3.61905, whole genome shotgun sequence.